AGUGACGUGUAUAUAUCGUUACAGGGACAUCAUAUCUGAUGACAUUGGAUGGAAAGCCAAACUUUCUCUUCCUCAGAAAGACAAUCGAAAACAAACUGCGGAUGUGACUGAUACAAAGGGAAAUGAAUUUGAAGACUUCUGCUUGAAAAGGGACUUGCUCAUGGGGAUAUUUGAAAAGGGCUGGGAAAAACCAUCACCUAUUCAAGAAGCAAGCAUCCCAAUUGCCCUACUUGGUCGGGAUGUUUUA